rnacentral:misc_RNA from 1 species
GAUGAAGAACGUAGUGAAAUGCGAUAAGUAGUGUGAAUUGCAGAAUUCAGUGAAUCAUCGAAUCUUUGAACGCACAUUGCGCCCCUUGGUAUUCCAUGGGGCAUGCCUGUUCGAGCGUCAUUUGUACCCUCAAGCUCUGCUUGGUGUUGGGUGUUUGUUCCGCCUCUGUGUGUGAACUCGCCUCAAAACAAUUGGCAGCCGGCGUACUUGUUUCGGAGCGCAGCACAUUUUGCGAUCCAGAUCAACGUACAGCGGCAUCCAAGAAGCCUUAUUUAACGCUCUUGACCUCGGAUCAGGUAGGGAUACCCGCUGAACUUAAGCAUAUCAAUAAGCGGAGGA